rnacentral:lncRNA from 12 species
AUGCCAGAUCCAUUCUGGCAAAGAGAUUUUCAAAGAGAUUCCAGUUUGAAGGAAUGUGACCCCUACAAGGACUCCUAUCCAUUCAUGAUUCCAGCGAGGGCACAAUUUUGCAGGAGAGUGAGCUGGUUCCUUGAGGCACACCCAGUGGUCCCUAUCAGUACUUGGGGUAUGGGCUGCCUUACACCAGCCUAUUCUACUGGCUCUUUGCAAGCGGGUGUAGGGAGAUCUAGUCACGAUAGUCUGAAGUCCCUUGCGCCAGUUCUCCAACAGUCCAUGGGUCACCCACCCUCUGUGCACAGCUGCAUCUGCUGUUCCUUUAGUGGAUUGUUUUAUUGUUUCACUAUUACCAUUUUAUUGUGGGUACUGCAUGCAAUCUGGUUUCUCCCUCUUACUGCUCUCCCUGCCUCACACAGAUGUAAAAUGUCUCUUUCCCCAGGGAAACUGCCCAAGUCUCUCCUGGGGCCACCUUUGGUCAGAGGCUCCUCGCAGGAGGCAGAGCCAGGGCCAGCAACAGUCGGCCCUGAGCACGAAGCAGUAACAACAUGCUCGGUGAUUCCUGUGCUACCCAUGUGUCACCACCCCAUCUCAGGUAAGUCAUUAUAGCCACUGUGCCUAAAGCUGUCUACUCAUCUUGUGACACUAUCAAGAUUCAGACAUCCAUGAGGAAUUAGCACUCAGCACUUAGCUAAAGAGCAGAGCUUCUCAAACGACUGCACCUUCAAAUCAGCUGGACAAUCUCAUUAAAAGAUUUUGAUUCCUGGAGUCUGGGCUGUGGCAUGAGAGUCUACAUUACUAACAAGCCCCCAGGUGCUACAAAUGCUGGCCCAGGGAUGGACCACACUCUGCACAGCAGGGCUUUAGGCUACACAAUCUGCAAACCUGAGUUCUGCUUUCAGUGACAGGAUUUCUGAAGGGGCGGAUUCGAUGUGUAACUAGUUAGAUCAAUUGUCUGGAGCAGUGGGUCUCAGAGUGUGAUGCAGGGACUAGCAACGAGGGCAUCACGUGGGGGCACGUUAGAGAUGCUAAUUCUUGGGCCCCAUUCCCAGAAUGUCUGAUUUUCUGGUUUCUAAACCAGACAUUCCGGGGGUGGGACCCAGUAAUCUGUGUUUUGAUAAGCCCUCCAUAUGAUUCUGAUGUGCACUAGCAUUUGAGGAACACUGCUCUAGCACAUUGAAAUCAUGUGGGGAGUCAAAAAAAAAUCAAGAUCUGGGUCCCCUCCCAGAGAAUCUGAACUUUUUCAUUCUAGGGUAGACCAGGCAUUGGGAUAUUCUAAAGGCAUCCAUGGAGAUACUAAUGUGCAGUGUUGUGAACACUUGGUUUAGAACAGAAAAGCUAAUCCUGCUCAAUAGGACAGUAAAGCAUCUGAGUGAACCAGCACAGCCUGGUUGCAGCGCUGGAUGUCUAUGGGAAGAGUGUGCACUCGGGCUGUCCAGGCUGACUGGGUGAGAGCGGGGGACGAUGCAACACUCACCCUCAUCCCUGGCUACUCUGGCUCCUUCUGCUCAUGAAGUGCUCUGGCUGGAGCUAUGCUGCUAUACUGCCACCAAAAGUUUCAUCCACCCUUAAAGGCCCAUAUCAAUCCAGGUCUUCAGAAAUCCCUUCCUAAACCCCCUUGCUGGAUGAGAUUUAUCCUUUGGUAGAUGUUCAUGGCACGUUAUUUGCAAGUCUUAUUUUCUCUACCUUUCUUGACUCUUACCAUCUGCUGAAUUGUGAACUCCUGGACACCCAGAACUGCAUAACCCUCAAUUUUGCACCUCUUUUGCCACUGUUAAGUGCUGCACUGUGAAACUAGUAGGCACCCAGUCAAUAUCUUCUGGAAUCUGGGAUCAGAACACCCGUGGUUGAGGCUAGCCUUUGCAAUCAGGCUUGAGAGCCAGGUGGUUAGAUAUCUUCUAGCCUUGCUUAUCUGUAAAAUCAGGAGGUUGAACUAGAUUAUCUUUAAGGCACCUCCCAAUUCUUGGAUUGACGGUUCCUUAUAGUCUAUUAUUAUUCCUGGAAAAAUAAGUCUGUGGAUACUGGUUGUCAUCGGACACUGGGUCAGAGAUGGACACAAGUUCUUUGGCCUUCUUCCCACAGAGCAAUGAGGUCUCCCUGUGUCUCUGGGCCACAUCAUACCUUCACUGCAGUAGGAAUCAAACUGUGAUAAUUUUGGGCACAGUAAAUGAGAGGCAGGAUUGGGGUGAGGUAAGGUGAAAGAAGGUGAGGAAGAAAUUUAGAACAUUGAGGCCCCAAAGAAGGCCUUCACCAGGCCCUGGCCAUCUUGACUUUAUGCACACUUGGUGUCAGACACCUGAACUAUUAUGAGAAAUCCUGCCAUCUUGCUAUGUGGAGAGGCCUUCUGCCUCCAUGGAGAGAGACAUGACCCGACAGCCAUCCCUGCCAAGGAGCUACGGAUGAGAGUAAAAUGGUUUGGGACCCUCUAGAUCAGCCUCACCACUAGCUGAUGACCACUGAGUGAUCCCAGCUGAUGCCACCUGGAGCAAGAGAAUCACCCAGCUGAGCCCUGUCUCAUUCCUGAUCUACAAAAUCAUGAUACAUAAUAAAAUGGUUGCUACUUAGGUCA